UACAGAGGUCCCGAGCGUUGUUCGGAUUCACUGGGCGUAAAGGGUGCGUAGGUGGUUGGGUAAGUCUGAUGUGAAAUCUCCGGGCUCAACCCGGAAAUGGCAUUGGAUACUAUUCGGCUAGAGGUUUGGAGGGGGGACUGGAAUUCUCGGUGUAGCAGUGAAAUGCGUAGAUAUCGAGAGGAACACCAGUGGCGAAGGCGAGUCCCUGGACAACACCUGGCACUGAGGCACGAAAGCUAGGGGAGCAAACAGG
rnacentral:rRNA from 1 species